rnacentral:rRNA from 1 species
CCCUUAGAUGUUCUGGGCCGCACGCGCGCUACACUGAUGCAUUCAACGAGUUUCUUCCUGGUCCGAGAGGAAUGGGUAACCUUUUGAAAGUGCAUCGUGAUAGGGAUAGACUAUUGCAAUUAUUGGUCUUCAACGAGGAAUUCCUAGUAGACGUAGUUCAUCAGACUGCAUCGAUUACGUCCCUGCCCUUUGUACACACCGCCCGUCGCUCCUACCGAUUGAAUGCUCAGGUGAGCCAUUCGGACUUUCAUCAUGCAGGUUUCCAGUUUUGAUGAAGGAAAGUCUUGCGAACCUUAUCAUUUAGAGGAAGGAGAAGUCGUAACA